rnacentral:rRNA from 1 species
CCCUUAGAUGUUCUGGGCCGCACGCGCGCUACACUGACGGAGUCAACGAGUUGUCCUGCAUCGGAAGGUGUGGGUAAUCUUUUGAAACUUCGUCGUGCUGGGGAUAGAUCUUUGCAAUUUUCGAUCUUGAACGAGGAAUUCCUAGUAAGCGUGAUUCAUCAGAUCGCGUUGAUUACGUCCCUGCCCUUUGUACACACCGCCCGUCGCUACUACCGAUUGAAUGGUUUAGUGAGGCCUCGGGACCGGCGCGCUCGAGUAGCAAUACACCUGCGCGCCGGGAACUUGGUCAAACUUGAUCAUUUAGAGGAAGUAAAAGUCGUAACA